rnacentral:lncRNA from 1 species
UUUCUCCUAAUUUGAGCCCCACCUGUCCUUCCGCCGAUUGGCCCAGUGAGCUAAGAAAUCAGGAUGGGGGAGCAACUUUUGCAUUAAAUACAGCUCACAAAUGAUCUUUCCUGCCCAUUCUCAAACCAUGAAAUUUCCGCACUUCCUGAUAUAGAGGCCUCAGAAACAUCUUUGAUUCCUUUCUCCAGGGGCUUACUAAGCCCGUUGGUUCUACGUCUAUUAUUAAUUCUUUCAAUAAGUAUUUAUGAGGCCUGCUAUGUGACAGGCUCCAUACUUGGCACGGCGGAUAAAAAGAGGAAUAUGACACAGAUUGCAAAAGAGAAACAAGUAAACGGAAAUCAGAGCAUAGUGAUUGUGUAAUAUGUGUAGAGGCUGAUUUAAUCACAGGGAGCACAGAGGACGGUACCUAAAUCAGAAGGGAUCUGGGGAGGUUUCCUGGAAAAGGUUUCAACCAAAGCCAUAAAUGCUGAUGUGGAUAUCAGGACAGUGUUUCAAGCAAUUUAGAUACAAUAUAAAAUAUACUGAUGCCAUAGUAGAAGAAGUUGAAGCCACUUUGCCAAGAUAUUUGGUUCUGAUACAAAGGAAGUUUUUCUCGGCCUGGUCUUGACUUAACAGUGACUUUAGUACUAUCCUGUUCAGACACCUCAAGUCUUCAGAAGAAAGCAGAUGAUGUGAAAGUAUAUCUAGGUCCCCAAGAGAGAUGCAAAUUACCAGCUGUAUUCCCUCAUGUCAGGAAAAAGAGGGUCCCAUAUAUUUCUUGUCUAAUACAAAAUCGCAGAAGGCUGAAACACAUUAACUAGAAAAGAGAAUGCAAUUUGGAUUCAACUACCUGCUGUCAUGAAAGGUAACAGUAGUUAAUAAUGUUUGCAAUUCAUGGGAUGUUAGAGAUAAAAGAGUCCUCAAAUAUCCUCCAGCAAAAUCUCUCUCCUUUUACAAAUGGACAAACUAAGGACAAGAGAAGAAAGAUGAGUCAAGCCUUCAGUCUUAUGCUGUGAUCUGAUGGUGAGCUAUAAAAUCACUGUCAAGAGAGCCCUUCCAACCACCUGUGCUCCUGGAAUUCAUGAGGGAAACACAUUCCUAAAACAAAACUAGCAACAUCAAGAUAUUACCAAAUGCUAGGCCGGGCGCUGUGGCUCAUGCCUGUAAUCCCAGCAGUUUGGGAGGCCGAGGCGUGUGGAUCAUGAGGUCAGGAGAUCGAGACCAUGGCGAAACCCCGUCUCUACUGAAAAUACAAAAAUUAGCUGGGUGUGGUGGCGGGUGCCCAUAGUCCCAGCUACUCGGGAGGCUGAGGC